GGGAGUAUUGUGUCCUUCAAGAGGUGGCAUAAAUCAAAAACAAUGUAAAUCAAACAAGAGGCAGGUUUGUAUCUUUACUGCCUACUGUAUCACUCUGACUCCUCUCCCUCUCGUGGUUCCUCCUCUGGCUGCCCUUCCUCUCGUGGUAGCACAGCAGCGAGGGUGUUGUUGUUGUUGAGUAGCGUGGCAGCGUGGGUACUGUAUUGUUGUUCAAGUGGCGCGCGGGAAGAACUGAGCUCAGCUGUGUGGCCGCGGCGCCGUGUGAGUCCAGCUGCGUGAGACAUCUGGUGGCCACUCCAUAAAAUAUCGCAUAUAAGUGAAAAAAAACGUGUGAAUUAAACAUUUAUUUGGAUUUUGGACCCCACGUUAUUUCAAAAACGCGUAAACCAAACUCGCGUAAAUCGAGAAUUACCUGUAUUCCAAGCUCUCCCAUGCCGAUUUUGUUAACCAGGUGACUCAUGUAAGAACACCACACAGGUCUGUUCAAUCACUUUUAUUGAGGACAUGACAAAAUAGCCAUGACGAGGCCCAGACAUGAGAAUCACUGACUCACUCACUCUCUAGUUGAUGAAUUGAUGGACUCACUCACUCACACACUCACUCCCUUCCCUUACAGUACAAAGUGACCGACUCAGCCACCACCAGUUAAAAUUUGCUGUGACUAGACCAAGAAACAACUUAUUCACUGACUCACUCACUCUAUAGUUGAUGAAUUGAUGGACUCACUCACUCACUCACUCACUCACUCACUGCUGUCCACCUUUCCCUUACAGUACAAAGUGACCUGCACAGCCAACCAGUAAAGAGUAGUUCUGAACAGACCCAGACAUGAGACUUAUUUAUAGACUCACUCACUCUCUAGUUGAUGAAUUGAUGGACAGACUCACUCACUCACUCACUCCCUUCCCUUACAGUACAAGUGACCUGCCCAGCCACCAUCAGUAAAAAACAUGUGCUUCAAAAUAGAUUCCUUACGACUAAUUGUGCAGUGCAACGCUACUCUGCGACCCUAAUAUGCAAGGCACGCCCCUAAAGGAUGGGUAAGCUAAAGUUUGCGUGGAGUCAGCGGGUGAGUGAAGCAAUGUGCCUCCUGGCGUACGCUCCCCGUUAGUCAGCCAGUGGUUAGUCCUCCCGUCCAUGCCUUUCAGAGUGAUGCCUCACACAACACACACAAACUACCAACUGUGUGACAAACCGCCUGACUAGUGGAGGCGAGUGCUCUUAGGCUUACAUUUGUACUUAAUCUAGCGAGCUUAACCUAGGCAUGACAGACCGUGGAAUGCAGUCUUCACAGUCGCAUAUGAUUGGGAAUGACGUGAUGUGCGGAUGACUUUGGCUGGGUUCACACAUAGCCAACUUAGCGUCCCAAUCGGUCCCGUUCAGUCCUGACAUAAAAAAAUUUGAGAACGGUAUCAAUCGUGGCCCAGCAGUAUCUGACCCCACCUGAUGGCGUUCUAACCCUGUUCUGUGCUGAUUUCUGACAAUAAUCCCGCCUCUCCUGACUAACCCCAAACUUUUUGAACACGCUAAAAAAUGGCAUGUUUUCCGCUUUCUGACGCUCAGUGGCGACCCUAAACGCCCACCCAUGUUUACGGACGAUCAUGGCCAUGAUUCCAUGCGUUCUGUGCUGUUUUCAUUGGCAGGGACGGAACGGGGCUGAAUGGGAAGCCAAGUCAGCAUGUGUGAACCCAGCUUUAGGGAUAAACAGCUGUAGUCCUGGACACAAUAUGAUGACAAGAGAUUAACAGCCUUGGUCCAGGAUGAGGAUGACUUAGAGAUUAACAGCCUUGGUCCAGGAUGAGGAUGACUUAGAGAUUAAGAGCCUUGGUCCAGGAUGAGGAUGACUUAGAGAUAAACAGCCAUAGUCCAGGAUGAGGAUGACUUAUGGAUAAACAGCUGUAGUCCAAUCUCUCCCUGACCACAAUGCGAUGACUAGAAAGGAACAGCCAUAGUCAAGGAUGAGGAUGACAUAGGGGUAAAUAAUUGUUGUCCAAGGUCUCCCUGGUGCCAAUGUGAUGACUAGAGAUUAAAAGCCAUGGUCCAAGGUCUCCCUGAUGACAAUGUGAUGACUAGAUAUACUGACAGCCAUGGUCCAAGUCCCCCCCCUACUGUAAGAUGUCAGUUAUUACCAGCUCAUAAAACAACGGCAGCCUCUAAACGGUUUUGCACCAUGAGUGUAUAAAUAUUGCCACCUGUUUCCUGUGCCUGUCAUGCAGGAAUGGAGUAUUCGUAUUCGGUAUUCAUAUUCAAAUUCAUUCUUCAAACACCGUAUUUUGGUGAAUUCGUAUUCAUAUUUGAAUAAUUAUUGAUAGAACUCAAAGUAUUCUCAUUUGCAUUUGAAUAGAAGAGAAAAUCAUUCGUAUUCUGUGAAUAAUCUGACGAAUACUUCAAAAUUUAUAAUCAGAAAUAACAGCCAUAUUUAAUUCAGGUAAGUGUGGCGCCCCUGUACUGAAUGCUGGCACCAGUCAUGGGCCAUUGUUCAUGAGCUCAUGCUACUGUUCAACACUAUCAAGAAGUAUUCGGAUUUAUAUUCAAAUUAAAACCAAUUCAGUGUAUUCAAAUGCGUAUUCAUAUUCUUUGGAAUUUGAAGUAUUCAUAUUUGUAUUUGAAUACAACUCUAGUAUUCACUCCAUCCCUGGUAUCACAUCAUUACCCACAGAAUUAGCAAGCCGGGUGCAGCCACUGACUCGCCCAGGUGCUUCACAGAAAGGCACGCAGAUGUGGCUGCCAUUGGUCUCCAGGCACAGCCGAGGAAGGGAGGGAGAGAUCAUGAAAGAGAUUGUAGGCACGUCUUCAAACUCUCGGUGAACGGUUACUCUGUGGUUAGGUUAGGUUAGCUUGAGUCAGGCACUAAACACAUAAGACAAGGGAACAAACAAAGGGAGGGAGAGAUUGCGAGAGGGGAUUGUCAGUGCGUCUGUGAUCUCUCAGUGAACGGUUACUCUGGUGGUGGUGGUGGUGGUGGUGGUGGUGGUUGUGCCGCUCAAAACAUGAGACAAGAGAACAAAGAAGUUACCGCAUGCACUUCUGGAAAUGUCCUUGCCACACCUCACUCACCACAGCCACGCCACACUCACCACCACCACACCAGACCGCACCACGCC